rnacentral:sRNA from 1 species
UUUCAUUUGCUUUCCUAAUACAAAUUCGUAUUUCUUAGUAGCUCUUAUCUUUCUCUUUACAUUUCUUGGUUUUUCUGGGUUCUUCAAUCUUUCACUUUCACAAGAGAUUUAAUUUUUGCAAAUUAUCAUAGAUCACUCAUAAUGGUUAAUAGAAUUCAGAUUUGGAGCAAAAAUAUUCAACACUUCGAUGAUGCUAUUUUGGACAAAAUUUCCAAGUGAUGUAUAGAUUUUCAAGUUUGUCACCAGAAAUUUUUAAGCGUGUCAAGCAGAUGAUCAGGCUUAGUUCUCAGAACAGGAGAUCCAUUUGAUGAACCACUCAUCUUCUAUAGUAAUACCAAUCAAGCUCAAGCAUUUGAGAUUUGAGCAAAAAGAAAGGCGAUAUAAAAAGUUCAGAGUUGUUGUCUGGUGAUCCGAGAUCUUGGGCACUUGAAUCUUCAGGAUCUUUUUGGUAGCUUGACAUGUACUGGAAGUAAAGAGCUCAAGGGGCUUCUUGCUAAUUCAGCAGUCUGUUUUAUGGGUAUGGGAAUGAAAUCAAAACUCAGUCACCUAGAAGGGAAUAGAUCAAAUGGCGAGAUUUGCAGGACAGGUGCAGAGUUGAGCUAUUUGGCUGCUAGGAUUUUGAACAAACCCAAUGUGCAAAAUUAUGGAUCA